rnacentral:rRNA from 1 species
CUUAACACAUGCAAGUCGAGGGGCAGCAUGGUCUUAGCUUGCUAAGGCCGAUGGCGACCGGCGCACGGGUGAGUAACACGUAUCCAACCUGCCGUCUACUCUUGGACAGCCUUCUGAAAGGAAGAUUAAUACAAGAUGGCAUCAUGAGUCCACAUGUUCACAUGAUUAAAGGUAUUCCGGUAGACGAUGGGGAUGCGUUCCAUUAGAUAGUAGGCGGGGUAACGGCCCACCUAGUCUUCGAUGGAUAGGGGUUCUGAGAGGAAGGUCCCCCACAUUGGAACUGAGACACGGUCCAAACUCCUACGGGAGGCAGCAGUGAGGAAUAUUGGUCAAUGGGCGAGAGCCUGAACCAGCCAAGUAGCGUGAAGGAUGACUGCCCUAUGGGUUGUAAACUUCUUUUAUAAAGGAAUAAAGUCGGGUAUGCAUACCCGUUUGCAUGUACUUUAUGAAUAAGGAUCGGCUAACUCCGUGCCAGCAGCCGCGGUAAUACGGAGGAUCCGAGCGUUAUCCGGAUUUAUUGGGUUUAAAGGGAGCGUAGAUGGAUGUUUAAGUCAGUUGUGAAAGUUUGCGGCUCAACCGUAAAAUUGCAGUUGAUACUGGAUAUCUUGAGUGCAGUUGAGGCAGGCGGAAUUCGUGGUGUAGCGGUGAAAUGCUUAGAUAUCACGAAGAACUCCGAUUGCGAAGGCAGCCUGCUAAGCUGCAACUGACAUUGAGGCUCGAAAGUGUGGGUAUCAAACAGGAUUAGAUACCCUGGUAGUCCACACGGUAAACGAUGAAUACUCGCUGUUUGCGAUAUACAGCAAGCGGCCAAGCGAAAGCGUUAAGUAUUCCACCUGGGGAGUACGCCGGCAACGGUGAAACUCAAAGGAAUUGACGGGGGCCCGCACAAGCGGAGGAACAUGUGGUUUAAUUCGAUGAUACGCGAGGAACCUUACCCGGGCUUAAAUUGCAGAUGAAUUACGGUGAAAGCCGUAAGCCGCAAGGCAUCUGUGAAGGUGCUGCAUGGUUGUCGUCAGCUCGUGCCGUGAGGUGUCGGCUUAAGUGCCAUAACGAGCGCAACCCUUGUUGUCAGUUACUAACAGGUCAUGCUGAGGACUCUGACAAGACUGCCAUCGUAAGAUGUGAGGAAGGUGGGGAUGACGUCAAAUCAGCACGGCCCUUACGUCCGGGGCUACACACGUGUUACAAUGGGGGGUACAGAGGGCCGCUACCACGCGAGUGGAUGCCAAUCCCAAAAACCUCUCUCAGUUCGGACUGGAGUCUGCAACCCGACUCCACGAAGCUGGAUUCGCUAGUAAUCGCGCAUCAGCCACGGCGCGGUGAAUACGUUCCCGGGCCUUGUACACACCGCCCGUCAAGCCAUGGGAGCCGGGGGUACCUGAAGUGCGUAACCGCGAGGAGCGCCCUAGGGUAAAACUGGUGACUGGGGCUAAGUCAU